rnacentral:rRNA from 1 species
UACGGGGGGAGCAAGCGUUGUUCGGAUUUACUGGGCGUAAAGGGCGCGUAGGCGGCCACCGCAAGUCGACUGUGAAAUCUCCGGGCUUAACCCGGAAAGGUCAGCCGAUACUGCGGGACUAGAGUACAGAAGGGGCAACUGGAAUUCUCGGUGUAGCGGUGAAAUGCGUAGAUAUCGGGAGGAACACCGGUGGCGAAGGCGGCCUUCUGGACGGAUACUGACGCUGAGACGCGAAAGCGUGGGGAGCAAACAGG